rnacentral:rRNA from 1 species
UUGAACUGAAGAGUUUGAUCAUGGCUCAGAUUGAACGCUGGCGGCAGGCCUAACACAUGCAAGUCGAGCGGUAGAGAGGUGCUUGCACCUCUUGAGAGCGGCGGACGGGUGAGUAAUGCCUAGGAAUCUGCCUGGUAGUGGGGG